rnacentral:rRNA from 1 species
GGGAAUUUUCCGCAAUGGGCGAAAGCCUGACGGAGCAACGCCGCGUGAGGGAUGAAGGCCUCUGGGCUGUAAACCUCUUUUCUCAAGGAAGAAGACCUGACGGUACUUGAGGAAUAAGCCACGGCUAAUUCCGUGCCAGCAGCCGCGGUAAUACGGGAGUGGCAAGCGUUAUCCGGAAUUAUUGGGCGUAAAGCGUCCGCAGGCGGCCUUGAAAGUCUGUCGUUAAAGCGUGGAGCUUAACUCCAUUUCAGCGAUGGAAACUACAAGGCUUGAGUGUGGUAGGGGCAGAGGGAAUUCCCGGUGUAGCGGUGAAAUGCGUAGAUAUCGGGAAGAACACCAGUGGCGAAGGCGCUCUGCUGGGCCAUAACUGACGCUCAUGGACGAAAGCCAGGGGAGCGAAAGGGAUUAGAUACCCCUGUAGUC